UGAAACAUGUCACUAUGGCAGGAGGUGAGGGAAGCGUUACAAGCCAGCAGUUCUUCGCCUCACCUGAUCUUGUGGUUGGUCCUUUGACUGAAUAUUCCCGCCAGAAUGUGAUCUGAAAACAAAAGAUGAACCAUUUCAAUUUCAGGUCAACCGAUGUCUGAAAACAUGGACUGGAAACAUUGCACGGCACUCUGAGGAACAUGACAGGCCCUCCUGCCGUUUCACUUAGUUCUGCCCAGAAGGGUCCUCUGUUCCCAUCUCCGUUCCUGCGCUUACUGAGAGUACCUGUUUGCCCAGCCAUGCCGGAACAAGAGUUCCCCAGAGACAAGAAGGAGAGGCCCCUCUGUGUCUCCAGCAGCGCCCCCCCCCCAGCAUGCGCUUACAUAUGGCUCCUGACUCGUUUUCCUUUCCCACAAACUUCUGUGGCCUUCUGCACUUGUGUCUGCCUUCUCCGUUACUUUAUGUUUGUGACAGUAACUCCAACACCUACCAUGUGGAUGAAUGCACUCACCAUCAUCCCAGAGGCUGUGUCUUACUGAGCAUGGGCCACCACCACAGGUGAAUUUAUGGAUUACGGGGGGCUUGGAAGGCUCAGGAAGGAUCCCUUUCAUUCUAAAACACUUCUCUGCUUCACACUGGCCUAUCCAAUUGCCUAGAA